rnacentral:rRNA from 1 species
CGCUGGCGGCGUGACUUAACACAUGCAAGUCGAGCGGGGAUACGGAGGGAGCUUGCUCCUGAGUUAUUCUAGCGGCGGACGGGUGAGUAACGCGUGAGCCAACCUUUUCUCUCAGUGGGGAAUAACACAGGGAAACUUGUACUAAUACCGCAUGAGACCACAGAGUCGCAUGACUUAGGGGUCAAAGAUUUAUUGCUGAGAGGUGGGCUCGCGUCUGAUUAGGUAGUUGGUGAGGUUAACGGGCCCCACCAAGCCGACGAUCAGUAGCCGACCUGAGAGGGUGAUCGGCCACAUUGGGACUGAGAUACGGCCCAGACUCCUACGGGAGGCAGCAGUGGGGAAUAUUGGGCAAUGGGGGAAACCCUGACCCAGCAACGCCGCGUGAAGGAAGAAGGCUUUCGGGUUGUAAACUUCUUUUAGCAGGGACGAAGGACGUGACGGUACCUGCAGAAAAAGCAACGGCUAACUACGUG